UUAGAGGAUGACAGCGAUGGCCUUUCUCUCUGCUACAUCACGACUUUUAAACAUUUCUGUGAGUAUUUAUUGAAAAAUGCCGAGCUCUGAGCUUUAUUUCUGCUUCUGCAGCACUUUCACCCUCCCACUGAAACUUUAAUGAAGAAGAACCUCGUGAAAACGACUGGAGUGGAAGCUGUCUGUGGAGUGUGUCAUGGAGUCAAAGGUCGCUCUCACUGACCGAGUGUCUGUCUGAUGUGUGAAGCUCUGCUUUCAGACACCGUGAGGAACUACACAAUAUGUAGCAGGUGGCUUUAAUGUUCUGGUUCUUCUCAUCCAUGGUGUUCUGAGUUCAGCCCAAAGUGCUACAUCUUCAGCACCUGAGCGCUGUGAAGUCAGCCUGAAGCUCCAUCAGUCAUGAGCCAGUGAUCUGCUGAUUCAAGCACUGACCUUCUCACCACAUGGACACGAGUCUCACUGACGAGUGAACGAUCUCUCAGCUCAGCUGUUCCUCUGUUCCUGACGUUCAGCAUUUCAUCAGGACAAAAGCUCCACUCAGACUCAUCUAUAAACAAUUUGCACUUUAUUUGUCGAGUGGAGAUCUUUCUGAGCAAAACAAUUAAGGAAAUAAAAUGAGACAAUCAGAGACUCUUCAUGAAUAAAAGAUCUCAUUCAUCUGUACAUCUUUCAUCUUCUGAUGGAAAUUAGCUUCACCCUGCUGUCAGUACGGAGCGAAAAGAUCACAGAGAAGAUUAAAGUGGAUUAAAUUAACAUGGCAGAGUAAAUAUGUCUCUCAUGCGAGACCGCACUCGUGUAAAAAACAGCACUG